GAUGAACGCUGGCGGCAUGCCUAAUACAUGCAAGUCGAGCGAACGGACGGGAAGCUUGCGUCCCUGAUGUUAGCGGCGGACGGGUGAGUAACACGUGGAUAACCUACCUAUAUGACUGGGGUGACAUCGGGAAACAGUAGCUACUACUGCAUCAUAUUUUGAACCGCAGGGUUCAAAAGUGCAAGAGGGUCUUGCUGUCACUUAUAGAUGGAUCCGCGCUGCAUUAGCUAGUUGGUAAGGUAACGGCUUACCAAGGCAACGAUGCAUAGCCGACCUGAGAGGGUGAUCGGCCACACUGGAACUGAGACACGGUCCAGACUCCUACGGGAGGCAGCAGUGGGGAAUCUUGCGCAAUGGGCGAAAGCCUGACGCAGCAAUGCCGCGUGAGUGAUGAAGGUCUUCGGGUCGUAAAGCCCUGUUAUUAGGGAAGAACAGAUGUGUAAGUAACUGUGCCUGUCUUGACGGUACCUAAACAGAAAGCACCGGCUAACUACGUG
rnacentral:rRNA from 1 species